CGGAGAGAAGGUACCCACUGUGGGAGAAGUGGGGGCCGUUAGAUAUCCAGUCAAAGGUCAGUUCCGAUCCGUACCGUGUCAGUAACAACACGGAGCGGUGUCGGAUGUGCGUGAAUGUGCCCAUUCGAAAACAACAGAAGAAUAUUUAAUAUCACUGACACCGAACGAAUACGUGUAAAUAGACCUUAAUCAAUUACAAAAGCGCGUAAAAACAGCAAAACUACACUUUAACAAAAGUUCCAAUUUACAUUUUCGAACGCGACCAUCUCGAACGUAAUCGACGCGAUUUUCGCGCGAAACGCGUCGCGGUUCGCGAUGCGUAUCUCGGUAUCGCGUGUUCACAGGUGUACGCCCGCAGUCGCAAUCCGCUGCUGCACAGUCCGCACCCGUACGUUCCGUGUAGUGCGUCUCAGAAAACUGUCCUUAUCGGAGCAUCGACGUAUACAACGUACACGUACACGCGUACGGUGAAAUCGAAUUUGAACAAAAUAGGAAAAACAGGGAAACGCAGUUAAAGAACGACCGAAGGCCGCGACGGUCGUGCGUUUCGUUCGAACGACAAAACGCACGGGAGCCGUCGAAUCACCCCGGCGUUAAAUGUGGCCGACGUGCGAAACGACGGUGCGGUACGUCGUUAACAAAGCUGGUGGUUGUUUUGAGCCUGGAGUGUUACCCGAUUAGAAUGGUUCCGUGUGUCGCGCGCAUCGCUGGCGACCCGUAGUGUUGUGCCAAAAUAAAAUCGGCGUCUAGCUGUUCCUAGCUGGGAACUGCCAGUGGACGGAUGCGCCUCGCCGUUCGGUCUCGUUUGGAAACGGCGGGACGAGCUAUGCGGGAUCGCGAUCACCCGCUCUUUUGUUUCGAGGACUAUGGGUGUCAUAGCAAACCGCUGACGUGCGUCCCGGUAUUUUAAAAGAUAAAAAGAAAAUCGGCCGAACGUGCCGUGAGCUGCGAGCAGUGUUUUCUUUUUUUUUUCUUUUUCCUACUUCUGGUUCGGCUCCGUGUCCGUCGCUCUCGAAUCCGCGGCCCGGUGGAUUUUCGAUCCGACCUGGCCGAAUAACACACCUGAGAACGGGGCUGCGACACGCGAUAUAUUUCUCCUACGUGCGUGUUUUCAACAACCUUAUCCGCCCUGACGUGAUUCGCCCGGUUUGCCCGCCACAGGACGGGUUAUGUUUCCCACUUUCAUCGGGAUUCUAGACAUUCAAUCGUGGUGGGAGGUGCCAAGUAUAGCACACUUCUGCUCAUUAUUUAGGGCUGCCUUCAAUCUUCUGGACUUUGAUAUUGAGGACUUAGAAGAAGCAUUAUUAACGGAUGGAGGAACGGAGGGACGUUUAGUACAGGAGCUGAUAGUCAGGUUACUCGAAGGUUGUUUACCCAACGACACUCGCAAUGACAUCUCCACUUUUAAUUAUCAGAUGUUUCUCCGUAGACUGUUUCGUAAGAAAUGUCAGGAAUACAAAUGCGAGAAUCCUUUUAAUACAGAUGUAGAUUUCGAGUUGUUACCUCUUCGGCAGAAAGUAGAAAUAUUAAGAGCUCUCUGCGACUUCAGGCUUGACGCUGAAGACGUGGAGCAAUCAUUAAGUAAUUUGGACUCGGAUAGUCUGCGAGUCGAACCUUUAGGACAUGAUCGUAAGAAUUCUGCCUAUUGGUACUUCUACGGCACUCGAUUAUAUAGGGAGGACUACGUCGAUACUUCUGACAGCAUCUCACACAAACAGAAAAGUAAACCUAGGGAUAAAAAGCGCAAAAGACGACGAAGCAGAGUGGCUAAGGAGGAAGAGGAAGAGGAGGAGAAGAAGGAAGACGGUUUAAUACAGGAGGAAGGGAAAGAAAGUGUUUGGCAAGUUGUCUGCUUCACUCAGCAGGACUGGAGUCGUUUAGUUGAGAAAUUUCGCGAUUCGGAGUACGAUACCGAACGUAAACUCUACCGUACUCUAUCCGAGGAUUUCAUGCCGGAAAUACCGAAGCUUUUUGAUUUGAAGGAGAAGCAACAACGGCGCAAGUUGUUGCAACGUAACAGUUCCCGUGUUCUUCGAAGUCACGAGCCCGCGACACAGAUGGAAACAGUCAUGGUUAGAUCGAAGAUCAAAACUAAAACAAACAAAGGGAGCAAAAAGGGGACUCAGAACUCGAAGAAUGUUUACGUUAAAGAGGAAACACCUCCGCCCUUGUCUUUGCCGCCCGUUCAAAAGAAAGGACGGCAGACUAACAAUUCGUUGGCUUCUGCCGUUGGCCAGAUCGUGAUUCACACCAGGGACGAAGUGGAAGGAUUAGAGAAAAAGAAAGGCGUCGGAAGUAACAGUGACGGGAAUUACGUUGCUUCUAAUUAUGGGUAUAAAUUCGGAUAUUCGUUUGGAAUCGAGGAAGAAGAGCGUCGCGUUGGGAUGCAUAAGGUUCUCGAAAGUCUCAAGGAUCACGUGGAUGCCUGGCCAUUCAUUGAUCCUGUGGACGAAGAAUAUGCACCAAGAUACUAUAGCGUGGUACGGAAACCUAUGGAUCUUAGUACGAUGGAGGAGAAACUCGACGGUGGUUUAUACAAGAAUUUAAAUGAUUUUAAACGUGAUUUUGCUCUUAUAGUGGAUAAUUGUAGGCAAUACAAUGGUUCCGACAAUGAGUACACAGAAAUGGCAGUGAAUCUUAAAGAUGCAUUCGACAAAGCUGUGAAUCGCUAUUUGGAAUCGGAAACAUCCAGCGACGAGGAUGCUUCGUCGCCGAAACCGUUCAUCGCCACGCCCGCGUCUCCGUCGUGUCCUUCUCGAGUUUCGUCCCCGCACCAGAAUCGUAAACGUUCGAAAAAGUCUACGAAAAAAUCGAAAUCGUACAAAUCCGAGAGCAAAGGAAAGUCCAAAGUGAACGAUAAGAACGAAGAAGAGGAGAAACGGGGGAAGAAUUACAAACUUCCGAAGAAGAAGAGGGUGAAGAAAAAGAGUAAACGAGCGAAGGACGAAGAAUCGGUGAACGAAGAAGAACAGGAAGAGCAAGAGAGCGAGGACGCCGUGUCCGAGUCGAGUAUCGUGACUUCGAAGAGAAGGAAGCAUAUCGACGCGAACAAUUUAUUGUUGAAAACCAAAAAGCUGUCAUCCAAAGAAUCGGAGGAGUUGAAGAAGAUGAACAAGAAGAUUAGUAAGGAACGUCAUCAGAAGAAGGAAGCGGAUAACGUGCGGCCGAUAAAAGAAUCAAAAGAGAACAAAAAGCGGAAAGAGGACUUCGAGGAGGAUUACGAGCCCCUAGUCAUCGCGAAAAGUAAAAGUAGGAAGAUCGAGAAGAAAGAGCUCGAGGAGACCGAGAUACUUACGAAUAACGCCAAGAAAAGUAAAGCGAAAAAGGUCGAAUCUCAGGAGGACGAGGCGGAGCCGGAUGACACGGAGAAAACUCAGCAUAUCAAAGUUAAGAAGAGUCGGAAAAAGGAGAAGGGGGCCUUGAAGGUUUCGAAGCCUGACGAGAAGUACGAGAAAAGUCGAGCGAAGGACAAAGAGAAAAAAUCAAAACAGAAAAACGACGAACUGAAAAACGGGGAGAUAUCGAGCGAAAUAGAUUCCAAAGACUUAGAUCUAGAAAGCGAUUUAGAUUCGAAGAAAACUCAUACGUCUAAGAAAAUUGCCGCUUUUAUAGGUGACAAGGAUAUAGAAUCCUUGGACGGUUUAAAGGAUAAGAUUAGCGAAAGGCGACGGGAGGAGAAGCUGAAGAAUGAAAAAGAGAAACAGAAGAAACCGGCGAAAAGCGAUCUUCACAAUGUGUAUUCAAAAAAAGUGCCUUCAAACGGUAGUACCUUUCACGACAGCGAUAAAGCCAGCGCAAGACGACCAAAGUUAAAAAAGGGAAUGAAAGAAGAUAAAGUUCCUACCACGGAGGAUGCGGUGAAAACCCAAGACCAAGAACCAACUGAAACAAAGAAAGUAAAAGUGGCUUCGACCAAGCAUACCAAAGGAUUUGGGAAGGAGGAAAGCUCGAUACAAGCAUUGAAUCAAGCGACGGAGCAAACACUCCAUGACAUCAACAAAUGGCUAGAUGACGCACCAAAGCUUUCCGAAUUUUCUUCCGGGAGCGAUUCUCCGAUAUUUCAUUCUUCCGUUGAGUCUGGUCGGUCGGGACCAAAGGUAGAAGCACCGAGAAAACGACCAAGUUCUAUUAAAAUCUUUGGCCCUCACGGACCCACCAGACCAAAAAAGAUACAACGUACGAUCGAUCGUUUGCAGCCUGGUAAAAGCAAGGGGAACUUGCUUUUGAAAAAACCGCUCAACUUACCGAGCGUUAACGCUAACGAGACAGCUGUUAACCAGUCGGCGAGCGACACCGAUCAGGCGAACAAGAACGCCGACGAGGAACCAAAACUUAGUUUAGGAACUGUGUUGAAGAACGUAGACUCCAUUCAGUUGAUUUGCAAGAGCUUAGUCUCCUCGCCGAAUCCGAAUUUUUCGAACGACGACGAGGAAGAGGACCACAACGCUCUCCCCGUGGCACCUGUGCCUAGCUCGAAAGAAGAGAAAUCGUCGACCGGAAAACCGACGACGCAGACGCCAACGGUGGCAGAGGAAUCUAAAGACAGCCAAUCCAGCGUAAAAGAGACUCAGAAGCCUAAAGCUGCGACGCCGAACUUGAGCGCCUGGUUCAAAGCGUUCGGGGCACCGAAAUCGAAGAAGAAGGACGAGGAAUCGGAGGACGGCGCGGCUAAGAAAGACGGCGAAUUGCCAGAGGUGUUCUGCGGCAGACAGAGAAGAAUGAGCACCGGCGGUAGCAGCGUGAGCGAAUCCGUUUCCAGUUUCUCUCAAGAAUCGCCACCUGGACGGGCGGGUCGAUCUCCACAGGGACAGCCCGUGAUGGCCUCGGUCGAGCCGCAAAUUAGAGGAGCCGGAUUCUAUCAGGACGCCCUGUCGACGGGAAGUAGUCCUUACAACAGUCCUUACUACGCCACACCUCCUAGAUACAGUGCCCAAUUGCCGCCCACUCCGUCUCCGCAAAAUCAUCCGCUGUCCCCGGCUUAUCCGUCGUCCUCUUACGAACAAGCGCCUCUCUUUUCCCAGAUACCGGCUCAGCAAUCCCAUACAACGUUUCAGAAGUCCCCGCAGGAGAGUUCCGGUGAAGUGUAUCACCAAUUAUCGCCCACGUUCCCGCAGCGUUCCCCUCAGGCCAGCUUUCCUCCGAAUUCGACUCCGCCAGAGACCUUCAAUCAACAAUUGCAACCCGCCGCUAUUCAGAAUCCGUCUCCGGUCUAUUCGCAACACUCUCCGCAACCGAUCCAGCAGGUGUUUCCUCAGCCUUCCCCGCAACCGCCACCCACGAAUUACUCGCAACCGUCGCCACAGCAACCUCCUACCCCGAAAUACUCGCAACUCUCUCCGCAACAAAACGCAACCAAUUACUCCCAGCCUUCUCCUCAAGCCUCUAGUUACUCUCAAGCGUCGCCUCAGCAACCACACUCCCCGUACUCUCAGCCGUCCCCUCAGCCACCGCCCACCUAUUCCCAGCCGUCUCCCCAACAGCAACACUCUCCUUACGCCCAGUCGCCGCAGCAAUCGUCCAGUUACUCUCAGCUAUCCCCGCAACCGCCAGCAACCUACUCUCAGCCAUCCCCUCAGGCCCCGGCCGUAUUUCCGCAACAAUCUCAACCAUCGAACUACUCCCAUCCAUCUCCGCAGACCCAUUCCGCCAACUACUCGCAGCCGUCGCCUCAACCUCUCACCGUGUACUCGCAGCCGUCGCCUCAACCACGGAAUUACUCUCAGCCGUCGCCCCAGCAACAGAUUCAGCCCUUUCCCCAGCAUUCCCCUCAGCCACCCGCCACGUUCUCUCAACCCUCGCCUCAGAACGCGUCCUAUUCCCAACCGUCGCCGCAGCCGCCAGUCAAUUACUCUCAACCAUCCCCUCAGCAGUCCGUCAAUUAUUCCCACUCGAUCCACUCGCCUCAAACCCCUCAGAAUUACUCUCAGCUCUCCCCUCAGCAAGCACCACCCACCAACUACUCCCAACCGUCUCCCACGCCUCAACAGUCCCGCAACUUCUCUCAACCGUCACCGUCGCCUCAACAGUCUCGCAGCUUGUCACAGCCGUCCCCGUCGCCUCAACAGUCUCGCAACUUCUCUCAAUCGUCGCCUCAACAGAAAUCCGUCUGCGCCUCGCAAGCAUCGCAACAGUCCUCGAGCUACUCGCAGCCAUCCCCGCAACAGAGUACAAACUACACGCCGCAACCGCAGCCGUCUAAAGGCACGGAGGAUCUGUCACAGAGCACGGCCGCAGCCUCGCCGGCUGCCGCGAACUACGCCCAAGGAUUCAAGCAGAAUUCCUACAUCCAAUCGCCAACCCCGUCCAUCAGCGAGGCAGAGCAUCGAACGGAGUAUCUCAAGUCCGCCGCCAGCACCGCCGAGAAGACCCCGACCGGGGACCAGCAACGAAACUUCGCCGUGGGAACGGAGGCGUCGUUGAACCUGAACGCCAACCAUCAGAUCUAUCAAUCCACUAAUCAGUAUUCGGCGUUCGGGAACAAUUACCCCAACAUCGACCUGCAGAGGUCCGUCUCGCGCCAGGAACAACCGCAACAGCAGCAACAGACCCAGGAGCAACGUUCCAGCUUCGCGGAGCUGACGGAGUCCCUGAACGCGCAGAAGUACGUUCAGCAGCGUUCGUUCCUCGGGAAGACGUCCGCCGCCGGCGAGCAGCUGUCGACGCAGGACCAGUCGCAGAUACUAGCAUUCCAGCAGAAUCUGACGGCCCACGAGCAGCUCUAUCCGAGCGGUUUUCAAGCGUCCGGGUACUCUAUGCCGAAUUCCAGACCCGUGUAUCCCAGCCCGCAUUACUUCGACGCCGGCUCGAAGACCGCCACUGGCGGAGCUGCUAACAGUUCGGCCAGUAACCUGCCUCCCGUUAAGAAACGCAUAUACAACGAGUCGCCCAACGAGGCGACUCGUACCAUAAACCAAGAGCCUACAGGUAGAACAGGUCAGGAGCAGUUCAGUUUCGAUCCGAUAAUGGGCUUGCCUCAACCCGACACUGUUUCAGCCAGUCAAUUCGACGCCGCGUUCGUUGGGAACUUGACCGAUCCCGUGGCCACGAAUAACGCUUACGCACGUUUGGGUCUGGGUCUGGUGGGUCGCGCGAGCAAAGAGCAACAGCAGCUGCUGACCAUCCCUCGACCGCCCGCGACCAAGUCCGAACAUUUAGCGUACUCGAGGAGUCCAGCGCCAGGUGCCGCCGAGCUGGACCUCAAUAUUCUACAGAGCUUGCAAACAGCGGCCAAGAACACGCAGGGUAUACUGUCCAUGUCUCGCAGAGGCGGGGACACCUUGGCCACCGGUUCCACGGCCGCGCCGACGAAGACGAGGAAGAGCAGGAAGAGCAAACAGCAGCAGCAACAGGAGCAGCAGAACGUCGCGAACGUUUCGUCCGCGGUCAGCACCGAUACCCAAUCGACCGGUAUACCUGGCUUCUCGCAGUAUACAGGGACAUCCGCGGACUCGAUCAGUCUGAAGAACACCGGCAUGGUCCCACCAGCUGGAAGUGCCUUCAAUUUCGCCGCGUCGACCAGUACCACCACCAGCUCAGCCUUCUACGACAAGGACGCGACAGCUGCGGCGUUCGCGUUCUUGGACGAGUUUCGAAAUCCAAACCGAUACUACAGCAUGGCCCUGAGGCAGCAACAACAGCAACAGCAGCCCCAACACCCGCCUGUGACGGACGCAGCUCAGCAAGCCUGCAACAAGCUCAGCAACCAACCGCCGAGAAACUAUCCGCCUCAUCCUUUUCUUCAUUCCGCUCAGAGAUCGGCGGCGUACGGUCCGCCAGUGUCCGCGUACGUCACGCCUCAUGGACCGAACCUAACGAUGGACCCAACCGCGUACCAACAGUACAUUCAUUCCCUCUACGCUCUUCAACCGCCGCCGCAUCAUCAUCGACCGUCCUGGCUUUAGCCGUUAAAAUCUUUGUAAAGGGCGUCUUAAGCGUUUUGUACGACGACAUUUCGGGCCGGAUACACACCGUCCUUCCGCUAGAUGGACGAAAUAGCGUUUUAAACCAGGGACAGAAAUUGACGGACGUUCGCCGACCCAGAUGGUAUGUUGACUUCAUUGCUCCAACCAGACCUGGACGAUUUUCAAGUAACGUUAUUUUCGAGAUACUGUUUCACCUAUUCUUAUUCACCUGUUAUUGUUGUGAGUUUGUAGGCGUCGAAGUUGAACCAACUCGAAGUUGAGUCCGUGGUAUGAAGGAAGGUGCGAGACGCCAGCGGUGGAUUGGGGACACAGGAACGAUGGGAGGAAGUUCGUGCAAAUAUGUGCUCUGUUUGAAUUUUGUUCCCAAGGAACAAAUUUGCCCAGGUCUGGUUCCAACUUCGUCGCGGCUCAUUCUCCUUGUUCGGAACACGUGGAUUGUGCAGAGCGUUCUGGAACAAAUGUGAGAGAUAUAACAGACGCGCUGGGUAAGUCCUCGAUAAAAGUCACAGAAUCGGGUUGUCUUGGAGACUUUUAACGAGUAUGGUAGGAACUUGUUUCUUUUUUUUUUUCUUUUUUCUUUUCUUUUAACUGAAUCCAAGACGAAAAGAGUGAAGGAUAGACCGAAAGUGAGCAAGAUAGAGUAAGCAAAUGCAAAAUAGAAACUGUAAUAUUUUAUAUCGUUUCUUCGUGAGAGCAUUUUUAAUUUUCAAUUAAUUGGUGAGACUGAUAAACAUUAAUAGGGGGAACAUUUUCCUUAAUUUUCAAGCUUAUUUCACGUCUGUUAUUUGUCUGACAUUUGUUCUGGAAUAGCCUUUGCAACUCAAGUCCGGGAUUAAUUUAGAUAAAACUGUGUUUACCAGUGCUUGUGAGUGCAUUUGAUACUUUGUACCUUUCUCCUGUUGUCAAUCAUAGUUGCAGUUUAAUAGAUAACACAGUAUAGAGAUGUUUCACUUGCGCGUAGUCUGUGUCGGUUACCGAUGAUCGGCAAUGACAGCAGAUACAUACAAAGUUUCGCUCGAACGCCGUUAGAUGGCGCUGUUCCCCGAUUGUAAACACUGUUUCAUCUAAUCGUGCUUCUCUGCGAUCAUAAUCAGAAUUUUCGUUCUCGUAAAAACAUCGGUACGGAUGUUUCUUCUUCCUGGAUCGUUGACCUUUCUACCUUUAAUAUUAGCAACUGAAACAUUUCUUUCGGUUUUUAGCGUAAUUAUUUAUUUUAUUCGUCGAUAUGUGAUCGUUUCACAAAUAUUUUUUUCUUAUUUCGCUUCCGUCCUGGAAUUUCUGAAUUAAUCGAAGAGAAACCUCGGUACCGAUAUAGCAAAAACAAAAACGCGAGAGGAAAAUUCUGAUUACGAUAUUCCUCGAGAUCAUCCAUUUGAAAAUAGCACCGUGAACUCGCGAGCGUCAAACAGUAAAAGAAACGCGUAAAACUUGAUUCUUGUUCUUUCGUUUUUCUCGAAAUGUUUUUUUACUGAUUGACCAGCGAACGACAGAUUUUUAAAGCUCUCUGGAAUUAGGGUACCCGGCCGUUACACCGCGAUUGUCUUUACCCCCUCCCCCUACUUCGCAUUUGUUUUCUUGUACAUUAUUUCUUUUUUUUUUUUUUAUCGAGACGAUACGAAAAAUCUUGGACAUUUUUACACGAUUUAUCAGAGGAAAAAGAAAGGAACUGAAAAUAAGAAAUAUUUAGCUUUUAUUCGGUAAUCUACUAUGUAGUGAUAUGUACAUAAAGGAUAAGCCUACUUCGCGUAGGAAUUUUUGAUAGUUUUUUCUAAUGACUAGUCGACGACUUAGACGUUUAAGUUCAGUCGCUAGUGACCGGAAGUCAUCUUCUAUCAAAAGUUCCUCUGUCUACCAACGCUCUUACACCGUCUCUAUCUAUCCCCCCCUCCCCCUCCCCCUCCCCCCUCUUUCAAUCUCUGUCGAUGUAUCGGGAUGUGGAAUUAUGCAAUAUUCGAUUUUUUAGCGAGGAGAACAUUAUAUUACAAAUCCGCUCCGUGACAGUGCUCGUAAUUUUUAGCCUGUCGUGAAUAUGUCCUUUACCCGCAUCAUUAUUUUUUUUUAUUUUUAUUUUUUUUUUUUUUUUAUGUUCGAGCAAAACGAUAAAAAGAAGGAACAGCUAGACGAAACGUAGAGGUUAUACGUGAUUUUUAAAUUCAAAGGAAUUCUGUAUAAUAUUGAGCGCACUGUUGCUGGUGUAUCUUAGAGUAUAUAGAUUUCUAUAGUUCGUAAGCUAGUUUUUCCGUUUCUUUGUAUAUAAAAUACAUAUCUCCUUCAUAGACGAUGUGCUCGAUGUAAAAAAAUGAUCUGCAAAGUCGAAGACCUUGUAGAAUCGUCCGCGGUAGAUUAAAAAAUGGGAUAACGUAGGGAACUAUAGAUGCGUGCGUGUGCGUGUGCGCGGAACAAGUUGAUACGCGAGCCCGUAUAUGUGUAUGUAUAUGCCUGUGUAUGACUGGUUGCGUGGAUGACCGGGUGUAUGGGUGUAUGACUCUUGUAUGAAAACGAAGAAAUAAAGUAUAAUACGCCGCAAUCAUACAUUAACCCACCUUAUUGCUAAAAGAAACAGAUGGAAGCGGUAUAUUAAAACUUAUAAAUAUAUACAUAUAUAUUGUAAAUGUAUAUUGUAAAUGUAUCGAUGACAGAUUAAAGCACAGUUUGUUACAAAAUCGUUUUCGCACUGCCGUUCGAAUGAAAUAUUUUAGUAAGUAAUGGUAAUUGACGAUUUCAAGAAACUUCGUUCUUGAAUGGUCUCGCGAAGACACGAUUAUUUAUCGAAGUAAUUAUAAAUACGGGGUGUCCCAAAAAUGUUAUAACACCUUGAAAGGGGCGGUUCAGGGGGUGAUUU